UACGUAGGGUGCAAGCGUUAAUCGGAAUUACUGGGCGUAAAGCGUGCGCAGGCGGUUAUGCAAGACAGAUGUGAAAUCCCCGGGCUCAACCUGGGAACUGCAUUUGUGACUGCAUAGCUAGAGUACGGUAGAGGGGGAUGGAAUUCCGCGUGUAGCAGUGAAAUGCGUAGAUAUGCGGAGGAACACCGAUGGCGAAGGCAAUCCCCCUGGACCUGUACUGACGCUCAUGCACGAAAAGCGUGGGGAGCAA
rnacentral:rRNA from 1 species